rnacentral:lncRNA from 1 species
GGUGGUGAAGUGGGCUCUGGAGAAGCUGGAGCUGACCAAGUACGCAGACAAGCCGGCUGGCACCUACAGCGGCGGCAACAAGCGGAAGCUCUCCACGGCCAUCGCCCUCAUUGGGUACCCAGCCUUCAUCUUCCUGACGAGCCCACCACAGGCAUGGACCCCAAGGCCCGGCGCUUCCUCUGGAACCUCAUCCUUGACCUCAUCAAGACAGGGCGUUCAGUGGUGCUGACAUCACACACAUGGAGGAGUGCGAGGCGCUGUGCACGCGGCUGGCCAUCAUGGUGAACGGUCGCCUGCGGUGCCUGGGCAGCAUCCAGCACCUGAAGAACCGUUUGGAGAUGGCUACAUGAUCACGGUGCGGACCAAGAGCAGCCAGAGUGUGAAGGAC